AAUCUUCCACAAUGGACGAAAGUCUGAUGGAGCAACGCCGCGUGAGUGAAGAAGGUUUUCGGAUCGUAAAACUCUGUCCUUGGGGAAGAAAGCGGCCAUUUAUGGCCACUUGACGGUACCCAAGGAGGAAGCCCCGGCUAACUACGUGCCAGCAGCCGCGGUAAUACGUAGGGGGCAAGCGUUGUCCGGAAUUAUUGGGCGUAAAGGGUGCGUAGGCGGCCUUUUAAGUCAGAUGUGAAAGACCACGGCUUAACCGUGGGGUUGCAUUUGAGACUGGAGGGCUUGAGUAUCGGAGAGGGUAGUGGAAUUCCCAGUGUAGCGGUGGAAUGCGUAGAUAUUGGGAGGAACACCAGUGGCGAAGGCGACUACCUGGACGAAAACUGACGCUGAGGCACGAAAGCUAGGGGAGCAAACA
rnacentral:rRNA from 1 species